GACCACGUAGCUCAGUUGGCAGAGCAUUGGACUAGUUUCCCAAAGGUCGUGGGUUCGAUUCCCACCGUGGUCA
rnacentral:tRNA from 1 species